rnacentral:rRNA from 1 species
ACGAACGCUGGCGGCGUGCUUAACACAUGCAAGUCGAACGGAAAGGCCCUGCUUUUGUGGGGUGCUCGCGUGGCGAACGGGUGAGUAACACGUGAGUAACCUGCCCUUGACUUUGGGAUAACUUCAGGAAACUGGGGCUAAUACCGGAUAGGAGCUCCUGCUGCAUGGUGGGGGUUGGAAAGUUUCGGCGGUUGGGGAUGGACUCGCGGCUUAUCAGCUUGUUGGUGGGGUAGUGGCUUACCAAGGCUUUGACGGGUAGCCGGCCUGAGAGGGUGACCGGCCACAUUGGGACUGAGAUACGGCCCAGACUCCUACGGGAGGCAGCAGUGGGGAAUAUUGCACAAUGGGCGGAAGCCUGAUGCAGCAACGCCGCGUGCGGGAUGACGGCCUUCGGGUUGUAAACCGCCUUCGCCUGUGACGAAGCGUGAGUGACGGUAAUGGGUAAAGAAGCACCGGCUAACUACGUG